CCUACGGGAGGCAGCAGUAGGGAAUUUUCGGCAAUGGGGGGAACCCUGACCGAGCAACGCCGCGUGAACGAAGAAGUUAUUCGUAAUGUAAAGUUCUUUUAACAGGGAAGAACGAGAAAUUUGACGGUACCUGAAGAAUAAGCUCCGGCUAACUACGUACCAGCAGCUGCCGUAAUACGUAGGGCGCGAGCGUUAUCCGGGAUUAUUGGGCGAAAGGGGUUCGUAGAUGGCAUAGUAAGUCUUUUGUAAAAAUGCUGGGCUCAAACCAGUAGGGCAAAAGAUACUGCAAAGCUAGAGUAUGACAGAGGCAAGUGGAACUACAGGUGUAGCGGUAAAAUGCGUAAAUAUAUGUAAGAACACCAGUGGCGAAGGCGGCUUGCUGGGUCGAUACUGACAUUGAGGCACGAAAGCGUGGGGAGCAAACAGGAUUAGAUACCCUAGUAGUC
rnacentral:rRNA from 1 species